rnacentral:rRNA from 1 species
UAGGGAAUCUUCCGCAAUGGGCGAAAGCCUGACGGAGCAACGCCGCGUGAGCGAUGAAGGUCUUCGGAUCGUAAAACUCUGUUAUUAGGGAAGAACAAAUGUGUAAGUAACUAUGCACGUCUUGACGGUACCUAAUCAGAAAGCCACGGCUAACUACGUGCCAGCAGCCGCGGUAAUACGUAGGUGGCAAGCGUUAUCCGGAAUUAUUGGGCGUAAAGCGCGCGUAGGCGGUUUUUUAAGUCUGAUGUGAAAGCCCACGGCUCAACCGUGGAAGGUCAUUGGAAACUGGAAAACUUGGGUGCAGAAGAGGAAAGUGGAAUUCCGUGUGUAGCGGUGAAAUGCGCAGGGAUAUGGAGGAACACCAGUGGCGAAGGCGACUUUCUGGUCUGUAACUGACGCUGAUGUGCGAAAGGGUGGGGAUCAAACAGG